rnacentral:rRNA from 1 species
AGGAGGCAGCAGUGGGGAAUCUUGCGCAAUGGGCGAAAGCCUGACGCAGCCAUGCCGCGUGAAUGAUGAAGGUCUUAGGAUUGUAAAAUUCUUUCACCGGGGAAGAUAAUGACGGUACCCGGAGAAGAAGCCCCGGCUAACUUCGUGCCAGCAGCCGCGGUAAUACGAAGGGGGCUAGCGUUGCUCGGAUUUACUGGGCGUAAAGGGCGCGUAGGCGGACAGUUUAGUCAGAGGUGAAAGCCCGGGGCUCAACCCCGGAAUUGCCUUUGAUACUGGCUGUCUUGAGUUUGGGAGAGGUAUGCGGAACUCCGAGUGUAGAGGUGAAAUUCGUAGAUAUUCGGAAGAACACCAGUGGCGAAGGCGGCAUACUGGCCCAAUACUGACGCUGAGGCGCGAAAGCGUGGGGAGCAAACAGGAUUAGAUACCCGCGU